CUCGCCUACAUGAAGCUGGAGUUACUAGUAAUCGCAGAUCAGAAUGCUGCGGUGAAUGCGUUCCCGGGCCUUGUACACACCGCCCGUCAAACCAUGAGAGUUGGCAACACCCGAAGUCGGUAGUCUAACCUCGUGAGGACGCUGCCGAAGGUAGGAUUGGCGACUGGGGUGAAGUCGUAACAAGGUACC
rnacentral:rRNA from 1 species